GGCGCGGCGACGACCGCCGGGAGCGUGUGCAGCGGCGGCGGCGGAAGUGGCCGGCGAGCCCGGUCCCCGCCGGCACCAUGCUUCCCUUGUCACUGCUGAAGACGGCUCAGAAUCACCCCAUGUUGGUGGAGCUGAAAAAUGGGGAGACGUACAAUGGACACCUGGUGAGCUGCGACAACUGGAUGAACAUUAACCUGCGAGAAGUCAUCUGCACGUCCAGGGUGGGUGCUGCACCCACCAACGGGGGUGGGAUGCAGGGGGUGCACACUCAGCCUCCUCCCUCCCUCCCUGGGCCUCAUGGGAGGAGUCAGUGGGGGAGGCCGCCUAGGACUGCUCGUCCUUCCAGGGGUCAGUCAGGAGGGACAGGGCAGGGUGAGCUAGGCCCAAGUCUCCCAGUGUACCCUGGACUUUGACCCUGUGGGAGACUUUCCUGCUGUGUGUCUGUUGGUGCUACCCCUGACCUGGAAGGACCUAGGACUGGGGACUCCCUGUGGCUCAGGUUGGGGCAGCCCCCUCCAGGGGAGGCCCGAGACUCCCGGACUCUGCUGCCUUUAGUCCAGCCUGGAUGUUGCCUGCACUCUGCGGGCCAUGGUACUGUGGCCCUGGGAUGUCCGGGAUGCCCAGGUCACGGUGGGCAGGAGCAGCGCCAGGGCC
rnacentral:sRNA from 1 species